CCCUUAGAUGUUCUGGGCCGCACGCGCGCUACACUGAUGCAUUCAACGAGCCUAUCCUUGACCGACAGGUCCGGGUAAUCUUUGAAUCUGCAUCGUGACGGGGAUAGAUUAUUGCAAUUAUUAAUCUUCAACGAGGAAUGCCUAGUAGGCGCAAGUCAUCAGCUUGCGUCGAUUACGUCCCUGCCCUUUGUACACACCGCCCGUCGCUCCUACCGAUUGGUUGUGCUGGUGAAAUGUUCGGAUCGGCCGUUUGUCGCGGUUUCCGCGUCAUGUGGCUGAGAAGUUCAUUAAACCCUCCCACCUAGAGGAAGGAGAAGUCGUAACA
rnacentral:rRNA from 1 species